UAAAGCCGUGUGCAAUGAAAAAAGCAAGCACGGUUUGGGGAGGGAUUUUUUUUUAUUUUAAUAAGUUAAUUAUCGACUCCAU
rnacentral:ncRNA from 1 species